UACGUAGGGACCAAGCGUUGUUCGGAUUUACUGGGCGUAAAGGGCGCGUAGGCGGCCUAGCAAGUCACUUGUGGAAUCUCCGGGCUUAACUCGGAACUGCCAAGUGAAACUGCUGGGCUAGAGUGCAGAAGGGGCAAUCGGAAUUCUUGGUGUAGCGGUGAAAUGCGUAGAUAUCAAGAGGAACACCUGCGGCGAAGGCGGGUUGCUGGGCUGACACUGACGCUGAGGCGCGAAAGCUAGGGGAGCGAACGGG
rnacentral:rRNA from 1 species